rnacentral:tmRNA from 1 species
GGGGGUGUUCCGGAUUCGACCGGCGAAGGUACUGGGUUGAUUGCAUGCCGAGGAUGACCGUUGGCCUCGUUAAUCACCGGUUAAAACAAUAAAUGCGAACGAAGAGUUUGCUCUGGCGGCAUAAUUUUCCCGCCACGUCGCUGCGCCUGACCGGGUGCUAAGGUGUAAGCGGCGUCAUCCAGCGCCCUGGCAGAGAUUCCCGGCAUUCGGAACUUCUGCGAGAUUUCAGAAUGCCUGUUCUGAAGGACCGCCUGUCCAUUGGCGGAACGGAGGACGAAAAACAAUUGAAGAUGGAACAAGCAUGUAGAUGUCUUCAUCAUUCCUCGUUGGGACAGGGGUUCAACUCCCCUCACCUCCACCA